rnacentral:rRNA from 1 species
CGCUAGCGACAGGCUUAACACAUGCAAGUCGAGGGGCAGCACAGGUAGCAAUACCGGGUGGCGACCGGCGCACGGGUGAGUAACGCGUAUGCAACUUGCCUAUCAGAGGGGGAUAACCCGGCGAAAGUCGGACUAAUACCGCAUGAAGCAGGGAUCCCGCAUGGGAAUAUUUGCUAAAGAUUCAUCGCUGAUAGAUAGGCAUGCGUUCCAUUAGGCAGUUGGCGGGGUAACGGCCCACCAAACCGACGAUGGAUAGGGGUUCUGAGAGGAAGGUCCCCCACAUUGGUACUGAGACACGGACCAAACUCCUACGGGAGGCAGCAGUGAGGAAUAUUGGUCAAUGGCCGAGAGGCUGAACCAGCCAAGUCGCGUGAGGGAUGAAGGUUCUAUGGAUCGUAAACCUCUUUUAUAAGGGAAUAAAGUGCGGGACGUGUCCCGUUUUGUAUGUACCUUAUGAAUAAGGAUCGGCUAACUCCGUGCCAGCAGCCGCGGUAAUACGGAGGAUCCGAGCGUUAUCCGGAUUUAUUGGGUUUAAAGGGUGCGUAGGCGGCCUUUUAAGUCAGCGGUGAAAGUCUGUGGCUCAACCAUAGAAUUGCCGUUGAAACUGGGGGGCUUGAGUAUGUUUGAGGCAGGCGGAAUGCGUGGUGUAGCGGUGAAAUGCAUAGAUAUCACGCAGAACCCCGAUUGCGAAGGCAGCCUGCCAAGCCAUUACUGACGCUGAUGCACGAAAGCGUGGGGAUCAAACAGGAUUAGAUACCCUGGUAGUCCACGCAGUAAACGAUGAUCACUAGCUGUUUGCGAUACACUGUAAGCGGCACAGCGAAAGCGUUAAGUGAUCCACCUGGGGAGUACGCCGGCAACGGUGAAACUCAAAGGAAUUGACGGGGGCCCGCACAAGCGGAGGAACAUGUGGUUUAAUUCGAUGAUACGCGAGGAACCUUACCCGGGUUUGAACGCAUUCGGACCGAGGUGGAAACACCUUUUCUAGCAAUAGCCGUUUGCGAGGUGCUGCAUGGUUGUCGUCAGCUCGUGCCGUGAGGUGUCGGCUUAAGUGCCAUAACGAGCGCAACCCUUGCCACUAGUUACUAACAGGUAAAGCUGAGGACUCUGGUGGGACUGCCAGCGUAAGCUGCGAGGAAGGCGGGGAUGACGUCAAAUCAGCACGGCCCUUACAUCCGGGGCGACACACGUGUUACAAUGGCGUGGACAAAGGGAGGCCACCUGGUGACAGGGAGCGAAUCCCCAAACCACGUCUCAGUUCGGAUCGGAGUCUGCAACCCGACUCCGUGAAGCUGGAUUCGCUAGUAAUCGCGCAUCAGCCAUGGCGCGGUGAAUACGUUCCCGGGCCUUGUACACACCGCCCGUCAAGCCAUGGGAGCCGGGGGUACCUGAAGCCCGUAACCGCGAGGAUCGGCCUAGGGUAAAACUGGUGACUGGGGCUAAGUC